GGGAGAUUCACUGACUGACUGACUGACAUCCAUCCAUCACACUGCGUGUGAGUAUCAGUAUAACAAACCUACUGCCAGUACAUUAUCGUAGCUUCACCAGGAUUUUCAUGGUAUCAGCUCCAUUUCCCAACAAUACACUUCCUCUUUCAGAACACGCUCCUUUCUUUCUCUCUGACAGGAAGUGACUAGGCCUCUCCCCUUACCCCUCAGCUCACUCUCGGAUCCCCCCGGACAGCGGUUGGUCGGUUGCCGUGGCCAACCAGACGCUGUGUCCCUGUAUGUCCGUCAGGGAAGAUGAGGUCUGUCGACGAGCUAAACCACUAAUCAGCAACAUUCCAGAACUCUCCGGAAGACGGGAAACAAACAUUCUGUCCGUGGUUCAUUCCUGUUGUUUAAUUACACUGUUCUGUUGACGGAGGCCCCUUAUCAACAGAUCUCUAACAGAGUUCCUCCUGUUGCUACAGUCCCUCUUUUAACAGACAACUAAUGACCAUAUUGAGGCUUUAUGAAGGCAUUCAUGAAGAGCACUACAUACAUGCUUCACAAAUCAUUAUAAGCCAAGUCGUAGCCUACAUGGGUGAUCCAAAGGCUCCUUACAGCUGGUAUUGUGUCGUGGCAUAAGAGCUUUAGACCUACGUCUUAUAAACGGUUUGAUUUCACUACAUCUAUAACCUACUUUUACUUUGACUAGAUGUCUAGUAGGAUGUCUAGUAGCAUGUUUGGUAUGAUGUUAAGUUGGAUGUCUAGUAGGAUGUUUAGUAGGAUGUUUGGUAUGAUGUCUAGUAGGAUGUUUGGUAUGAUGUCUAGUUGGAUGUUUAGUAGGAUGUCAGGCAGGAUGUUUGGUAGGAUGUUUGGUAGGAUGUCUAGUAGGAUGUCUAGUAGGAUGUCUGGUAGGAUGUCUAGUAGGAUAUUUAGUAGGAUGUCUGGUAGGAUGUCUGGUAGGAUGUCUGGUAGGAUGUCUGGUAGGAUGUCUGGUCGGAUGUCUGGUCGGAUGUCUGGUCGGGUGUCUGGUCUGGUAGGUUGUCUAGUAGGGUGUCUGGUAGGUUGUCUAGUAGGGUGUCUGGUAGGUUGUCUAGUAGGGUGUCUGGUAGGUUGUCUAGUAGGGUGUCUGGUAGGUUGUCUGGUAGGAUGUCUGGUAGGAUGUUUGGUAUGAUGUCUAGUAGGGUGUCUGGUAUGAUGUCUAGUAGGGUGUCUAGUAGGGUGUCUAGUAGGGUGUCUGGUAUGAUGUCUAGUAGGAUGUUUGGUAUGAUGUCUAGUAGGGUGUCUGGUAUGAUGUCUAGUAGGAUGUUUGGUAUGAUGUCUAGUAGGAUGUCUAGUAGGAUGUCUAGUAGGGUGUCUAGUAGGGUGUCUGGUAUGAUGUCUGGUAUGAUGUCUAGUAGGGUGUCUAGUAGGGUGUCUAGUAGGGUGUCUAGUAGGGUGUCUAGUAGGGUGUCUAGUAGGGUGUCUAGUAGGGUGUCUAGUAGGGUGUCUAGUAGGGUGUCUAGUAGGGUGUCCAGGGUGUAGUAGGGUGU
ensembl:lncRNA